rnacentral:rRNA from 1 species
GACGAACGCUGGCGGCGUGCUUAACACAUGCAAGUCGAACGGAAAGGCCCUGCUUGCGGUGUACGCGCGAGUGGCGAGCGAGUGACACACACGUGAGUUACCCUCUCCUUACUGUGAUAUUACUGCAAGAAAGGGUGUCACAUACCAGAUAGGCGCUCCUCAUGGUGGGGGUUGGAAAGCUUGUUCGGUCUGGGAUGGGCUCGCGGCCUAUCAGCUUGUUGGUGGGGUAAUGGCCUACCAAGGCAGUGACGGGUAGCCGGCCUGGGAGGGGGGACGGCCACAUUGGGACUGAGAUACGGGCCAGACUCCUACGGGGGGGAGGAGUGGGGAAUAAUGCACAAUGGGCGGAAGCCUGAUGCAGCAACGCCGCGUGGGGGAUGACGGCCUUCGGGUUGUAAACCCGUUUCAGCAGGGGCGAAGCUGUUAGUGACGGUACCUGGAGAAGAAGCACCGGCUAACUACGUG